GUGCUCACUUUGGCACACAGAUACUAAAACUGGAAAGGUACAGAGAAGAUUAGCAUGGUCCCUGUGCAAGGAUGACUCAAAUUUGGGAAGCAUUUCAUAUUUUU